rnacentral:rRNA from 1 species
UACGAAGGGGGCUAGCGUUGCUCGGAAUUACUGGGCGUAAAGCGCACGUAGGCGGUCUUUUAAGUCGGGGGUGAAAUCCUGGAGCUCAACUCCGGAACUGCCUUCGAUACUGGAAGACUUGAGUCCGGGAGAGGUGAGUGGAACUGCGAGUGUAGAGGUGAAAUUCGUAGAUAUUCGCAAGAACACCAGUGGCGAAGGCGGCUCACUGGCCCGGUACUGACGCUGAGGUGCGAAAGCGUGGGGAGCAAACAGG